AUAUAUAUAUAUAUAACAUACACAGAAACCCUCCCGGGACUCUACCCUGUUUGGCCAGACAACUGCCCCAGUACUGAGCAUGCUGCAGACUACACUGAUUCCCAAGCUGCCACGGCUCAUGUAUCUAAACUGAUCACUAAUGAGCUCUGAGCAGCGAGAAGCCAAUUGCCUUUGUGUCUUUAUACAAAAUAAAUAAUAAAGUGGCCAAGUUCCAUUUCCCUUUGUAAAAGGAUUCCGAAUGUUGGAUUAGCCAGGUUGCAGCGAUCCCUGGAUGGCACAUUUCUCCUCCUUCUUAGCCAUUUUGCCUUUGUUUUGCCCCAGGGUUCUCUCUAGAUGUUCAUCCUCCUCUUCAGCUCUGCAAGGAUACAUAGAGAAUGCUCAGAAGCACAGCCCCCUGCAUGGCUAAAUCAGUGCCUGACCAGCGGCUACAUUAGUGGGCUCUACAUGUAACGGGGUUCUCUCUAGAUGUUCAUCCUCCUCUUCAGCUCUGCAAGGAUACAUAGAGAAUGCUCAGAAGCACAGCCCCCUGCAUGGCUAAAUCAGUGCCUGACCAGCGGCUACAUUAGUGGGCUCUACAUGUAACGGGGUUCUCUCUAGAUGUUCAUCCUCCUCUUCAGCUCUGCAAGGAUACAUAGAGAAUGCUCAGGAGCACAGCCCCUGCAUGGCUAAAUCAGUGCCUGACCAGCGGCUACAUUAGUGGGCUCUACAUGUAACGGGGUUCUCUCUAGAUGUUCAUCCUCCUCUUCAGCUCUGCAAGGAUACAUAGAGAAUGCUCAGAAGCACAGCCCCCUGCAUGGCUAAAUCAGUGCCUGACCAGCGGCUACAUUAGUGGGCUCUACAUGUAACGGGGUUCUCUCUAGAUGUUCAUCCUCCUCUUCAGCUCUGCAAGGAUACAUAGAGAAUGCUCAGAAGCACAGCCCCCUGCAUGGCUAAAUCAGUGCCUGACCAGCGGCUACAUUAGUGGGCUCUACAUGUAACGGGGUUAGACAGAGACUUGCCCCCUAACAAUGAGGCU